CAACAAAACCACACAAGCCACAUCAAGCAGUCCCCAACCUGUCACUCAUUCUUCUUUGUCCUAUAAAUACAAGAGGCUUAGGCUCUUCUCUCCAUCCUGCAAUCUUCAGAGAGACUCCACUUGGUUAUAUCUGCGACCUAAGAAACAAAACCGUACUUCAACCAUGAAGAUCUUCUCCGUGCUCUCAGCUGUCCUGUUCUUGGUGCUGAUGGUUAGUGCAGCCCUGGCUGACCCAAAGACUACAGAUGAAUGUACAAAAGCUGGAGGUGUUUGUAAGCAUUUGCUUUGUGGAACAUCUAUGACCGAUAUUGGGGUGUGCGGUGGAAAAAACGUUUGCUGCAAAAAGAAGUAAUUUCAGCAGACCUCUGGGCUGCAAUCCAUGCCAUGAGCAGAGCAUAUGUUCAUCCCAAUAUCUUCACUUCAUCUGAAUGACCUUUUCCUGAAUUGAUUCACUAUCAAAUUUUUACCAUAGCUGAUUGAUCUCUCUCACAUGACUUAUGCCUGUACUCAUUAAAAUAAUCAAAUCAUAUAUUUUUGGAGAUUGUAUUUGUGUUUCAGGGAAGUUAUUGGUGAAAAAUUGAGAAAUAGGCAUUCUAAGUACUGUGCCAAAUACAUCUGGGCCACAAAAGUAUUGAUAUCUUACUCAUGUGCAAGCUCCCCAAUGGGAUCCCAUUAGAGGUGUGCGCGGUAUCCGUUUCUCCCAUUUCAUUUGUUCUUUCAUUCCUUUCAUUUUGGGCAGGAGCCUGA